GCAGAGAAGAUCUUCAAAGGACUCUGAAGACUCUGUGGGGAGGGGGUCACAGUUGCAGCUGCUGCCCCACCUCCACCAUGGACCCCCCCCUAGAUAACCCAGGAAAUUCUGAGGGACAACAGCCUACAAUGUCUAGCCACCACAAGGCCCUCCAGGACGGGAAGGCGGGAAGAGCAUGUGGCCAGGUGGAUGUAAAAUGGACUAGUGAGCCCAGGAAGACAGACAGGAGGAAAACCAUGACUUACACACGAAUGAAGAAUGAAAGUUCUUGGUCACACCUCCUCUUCCUAGGAUCCAGCCCCAAAAUGAAAAACUGGAAUCCCAGCUUCAAGGUUCCUCAAUCAGCGAAACUCUCAACUCAAAUUCCGCCUCCAUGUACUGCUACUGUUGUC